rnacentral:lncRNA from 1 species
GCAUUUUUAUAUUUUUCAGGGGUAUUUUUUGUUAUGGGUCUACUCGCUUUUUCCGUUUUCAAAAUUAUUCUAAGUACAAAUAUUUUUCCGGUUUAUUAUAUUUUUUUAAAAAAAACCCCUUUUACUUUUGUAUAACAAAAUAAUAAUAAUAAUAAUUUGUUAUUUUCACAUGAGAUCCCAAACUAAGUAGUUACCCAUAAAUUAGUAAAAUGACAAAAAAAUAAAUAAACAUUUUGAUAUUUUACUAUGUUUGUUGAUCAUUUUGCUAUU